GACGAACCGUGCGAACGUUGUUCGGAAUCACUGGGCUUAAAGGGCGCGUAGGCGGGCUGCCAAGUCUGGGGUGAAAUCCCACGGCUCAACCGUGGAACUGCCUCGGAUACUGGCGGCCUCGAGGGGGGUAGGGGCGUGCGGAACUGUGGGUGGAGCGGUGAAAUGCGUUGAUAUCCACAGGAACUCCGGUGGCGAAGGCGGCACGCUGGACCUCUUCUGACGCUGAGGCGCGAAGGCCAGGGGAGCAAACGGG
rnacentral:rRNA from 1 species